UACGUAGGGGGCUAGCGUUGUCCGGAAUCAUUGGGCGUAAAGCGCGCGUAGGCGGCCCGGUAAGUCCGCUGUGAAAGUCAAAGGCUCAACCUUUGAAUGUCAGCGGAUACUGCCGGGCUAGAGUCCGGAAGAGGCGAGUGGAAUUCCUGGUGUAGCGGUGGAAUGCGCAGAUAUCAGGAGGAACACCAACGGCGAAGGCAGCUCGCUGGGACGGUACUGGCGCUGAGGCGCGAAAGCGUGGGGAGCGAACAGG
rnacentral:rRNA from 1 species